GACGAACGCUGGCGGCGUGCUUAACACAUGCAAGUCGAACGGAAAGGCCCUGCUUUUGUUGGGUGCUCGAGUGGCGAACGGGUGAGUAACACGUGAGUAACCUGCCCUUGACUUUGGGAUAACUUCAGGAAACUGGGGCUAAUACCGGAUAGGAGCUCCUGCUGCAUGGUGGGGGUUGGAAAGUUUCGGCGGUUGGGGAUGGACUCGCGGCUUAUCAGCUUGUUGGUGGGGUAGUGGCUUACCAAGGCUUUGACGGGUAGCCGGCCUGAGAGGGUGACCGGCCACAUUGGGACUGAGAUACGGAGCAGACUCCUACGGGAGGCAGCAGUGGGGAAUAUUGCACAAUGGGCGGAAGCCUGAUGCAGCAACGCCGCGUGCGGGAUGACGGCCUUCGGGUUGUAAACCGCUUUCGCCUGUGACGAAGCGUGAGUGACGGUAAUGGGUAAAGAAGCACCGGCUAACUACGUG
rnacentral:rRNA from 1 species